rnacentral:lncRNA from 1 species
UCCCCAAUGCUUAAUAGAUAAUAGUUGGAUUCUUUUGUUUUCUCUUGCUCCAUGGAAUAUCUUUUCACAUAAAGAUGUUUCGAAUAUUUUUUAGGUGAAGAUGAAUUCUUGGAGUAGAGGUUGGUGGUAUGCUUCCCUUUGGAAAGGUAUCACCAACUUUCCUUCUGGCUCUUCCUUCAUUUAUGAGUGGAAGAGUCAAUUCUUUUUUGCAUCUUCUUCGACCCAG